GUGUUGUAUGAGCAUAGGGUUAGCGCUCCCCUAGACAAGGACAGAAGAAGCCCUUGGGCCUAAUAAUACGCAUACAGUUAAGGUACUGCUACCAUAGUUUGUGGCGUCUAACCACUGUUUCUG
rnacentral:ncRNA from 1 species